AUUGAACGCUGGCGGCAGGCUUAACACAUGCAAGUCGAGCGAGCGGCGGACGGGUGAGUAAUGUAUGGGGAUCUGCCCGAUGGAGGGGGAUAACUACUGGAAACGGUGGCUAAUACCGCAUACUAUCGGAUGAACCCAGAGGGGAUUAGCUAGUAGGUGGGGUAAUGGCUCACCUAGGCGACGAUCUCGAGCUGGUCUGAGAGGAUGACCAGCCACACUGGAACUGAGACACGGUCCAGACUCCUACGGGAGGCAGCAGUGGGGAAUAUUGCACAAUGGGCGCAAGCCGGAUGCAGCCAUGCCGCGUGUGUGAAGAAGGCCUUAGGGUUGUAAAGCACUUUCAGCGGGGAGGCGUUACCCGCAGAAGAAGCACCGGCUAACUCCGUGCCAGCAGCCGCGGUAAUAC
rnacentral:rRNA from 1 species